GAAAUAUGAUCGUGUCUUGGAUG
rnacentral:siRNA from 1 species